rnacentral:rRNA from 1 species
GACGAACCGUGCGAACGUUGUUCGGAAUCACUGGGCUUAAAGGGCGCGUAGGCGGGCUGUCAAGUCUGGGGUGAAAUGCCACGGCUCAACCGUGGAACUGCCUCAGAUACUGACGGCCUCGAGGAAGGUAGGGGCAUGCGGAACUGUAGGUGGAGCGGUGAAAUGCGUUGAUAUCAUCAGGAACACCGGAGGCGAAGGCGGUCCACUGGGUCCUAUCUGACGCUGAGGGACGAAAGCUAGGGGAGCGAACGGG